GACGAACGCUGGCGGCGUGCUUAACACAUGCAAGUCGAACGGAAAGGCCCUGCUUUUGUGGGGUGCUCGAGUGGCGAACGGGUGAGUAACACGUGAGUAACCUGCCCUUGACUUUGGGAUAACUUCAGGAAACUGGGGCUAAUACCGGAUAGGAGCUCCUGCUGCAUGGUGGGGGUUGGAAAGUUUCGGCGGUUGGGGACGGACUCGCGGCUUAUCAGCUUGUUGGUGGGGUAGUGGCUUACCAAGGCUUUGACGGGUAGCCGGCCUGAGAGGGUGACCGGCCACAUUGGGACUGAGAUACGGCCCAGACUCCUACGGGAGGCAGCAGUGGGGAAUAUUGCACAAUGGGCGGAAGCCUGAUGCAGCAACGCCGCGUGCGGGAUGACGGCCUUCGGGUUGUAAACCGCUUUCGCCUGUGACGAAGCGUGAGUGACGGUAAUGGGUAAAGAAGCACCGGCUAACUACGUGCCAGCAGCCGCGGUGAUACGUAGGGUGCGAGCGUUGUCCGGAUUUAUUGGGCGUAAAGGGCUCGUAGGUGGUUGAUCGCGUCGGAAGUGUAAUCUUGGGGCUUAACCCUGAGCGUGCUUUCGAUACGGGUUGACUUGAGGAAGGUAGGGGAGAAUGGAAUUCCUGGUGGAGCGGUGGAAUGCGCAGAUAUCAGGAGGAACACCAGUGGCGAAGGCGGUUCUCUGGGCCUUUCCUGACGCUGAGGAGCGAAAGCGUGGGGAGCGAACAGGCUUAGAUACCCUGGUAGUCCACGCUGUAAACGGUGGGUACUAGGUGUGGGGUCCAUUCCACGGGUUCCGUGCCGUAGCUAACGCUUUAAGUACCCCGCCUGGGGAGUACGGCCGCAAGGCUAAAACUCAAAGGAAUUGACGGGGCCCCGCACAAGCGGCGGAGCAUGCGGAUUAAUUCGAUGCAACGCGUAGAACCUUACCUGGGUUUGACAUGGAUCGGGAGCGCUCAGAGAUGGGUGUGCCUCUUUUGGGGUCGGUUCACAGGUGGUGCAUGGCUGUCGUCAGCUCGUGUCGUGAGAUGUUGGGUUAAGUCCCGCAACGAGCGCAACCCUUGUUCACUGUUGCCAGCACGUUAUGGUGGGGACUCAGUGGAGACCGCCGGGGUCAACUCGGAGGAAGGUGGGGAUGACGUCAAGUCAUCAUGCCCCUUAUGUCCAGGGCUUCACGCAUGCUACAAUGGCUGGUACAGAGAGUGGCGAGCCUGUGAGGGUGAGCGAAUCUCGGAAAGCCGGUCUCAGUUCGGAUUGGGGUCUGCAACUCGACCUCAUGAAGUCGGAGUCGCUAGUAAUCGCAGAUCAGCAACGCUGCGGUGAAUACGUUCCCGGG
rnacentral:rRNA from 1 species